AUACGUAGGGGGCGAGCGUUGUCCGGAAUGAUUGGGCGUAAAGGGCGCGUAGGCGGCCCGGUAAGUCUGGAGUGAAAGUCCUGUUUUUAAGAUGGGAAUUGCUUUGGAUACUGUCGGGCUUGAGUGCAGGAGAGGUAAGUGGAAUUCCCAGUGUAGUGGUGAAAUGCGUAGAGAUUGGGAGGAACACCAGUGGCGAAGGCGACUUACUGGACUGUAACUGACGCUGAGGCGCGAAAGUGUGGGGAGCAAACAGGAUUAGAUACCCUGGUAGUCCACACUGUAAACGAUGAAUGCUAGGUGUAGGGGGUAUCGACCCCUUCUGUGCCGCAGUCAACACAAUAAGCAUUCCGCCUGGGGAGUACGGCCGCAAGGUUGAAACUCAAAUGAAUUGACGGGG
rnacentral:rRNA from 1 species